rnacentral:rRNA from 1 species
GGUUAAGCGACCAAGCGUACACGGUGGAUGCCCUGGCAGUCAGAGGCGAUGAAGGACGUGCUAAUCUGCGAUAAGCGCCGGUAAGGUGAUAUGAACCGUUAUAACCGGCGAUUUCCGAAUGGGGAAACCCAGUGUGAUUCGUCACACUAUCAUUAACUGAAUCCAUAGGUUAAUGAGGCGAACCGGGGGAACUGAAACAUCUAAGUACCCCGAGGAAAAGAAAUCAACCGAGAUUCCCCCAGUAGCGGCGAGCGAACGGGGAGGAGCCCAGAGCCUGAAUCAGCAUGUGUGUUAGUGGAAGCGUCUGGAAAGGCGCGCGAUACAGGGUGACAGCCCCGUACACAAAAGCGCAUAUGCUGUGAGCUCGAUGAGUAGGGCGGGACACGUGGUAUCCUGUCUGAAUAUGGGGGGACCAUCCUCCAAGGCUAAAUACUCCUGACUGACCGAUAGUGAACCAGUACCGUGAGGGAAAGGCGAAAAGAACCCCGGCGAGGGGAGUGAAACAGAACCUGAAACCGUGUACGUACAAGCAGUGGGAGCACAGGUUUACCUGUGUGACUGCGUACCUUUUGUAUAAUGGGUCAGCGACUUAUAUUCUGUAGCAAGGUUAACCGUAUAGGGGAGCCGAAGGGAAACCGAGUCUUAAUUGGGCGUUAAGUUGCAGGGUAUAGACCCGAAACCCGGUGAUCUAGCCAUGGGCAGGUUGAAGGUUGGGUAACACUAACUGGAGGACCGAACCGACUAAUGUUGAAAAAUUAGCGGAUGACCUGUGGCUGGGGGUGAAAGGCCAAUCAAACCGGGAGAUAGCUGGUUCUCCCCGAAAGCUAUUUAGGUAGCGCCUCGUGAAUUCAUCUCCGGGGGUAGAGCACUGUUUCGGCUAGGGGGCCAUCCCGGCUUACCAACCCGAUGCAAACUGCGAAUACCGGAGAAUGUUAUCACGGGAGACACACGGCGGGUGCUAACGUCCGUCGUGAAGAGGGAAACAACCCAGACCGCCAGCUAAGGUCCCAAAGUCAUGGUUAAGUGGGAAACGAUGUGGGAAGGCCCAGACAGCCAGGAUGUUGGCUUAGAAGCAGCCAUCAUUUAAAGAAAGCGUAAUAGCUCACUGGUCGAGUCGGCCUGCGCGGAAGAUGUAACGGGGCUAAACCAUGCACCGAAGCUGCGGCAGCGACGCUUAUGCGUUGUUGGGUAGGGGAGCGUUCUGUAAGCCUGUGAAGGUGGCCUGUGAGGGUUGCUGGAGGUAUCAGAAGUGCGAAUGCUGACAUAAGUAACGAUAAAGCGGGUGAAAAGCCCGCUCGCCGGAAGACCAAGGGUUCCUGUCCAACGUUAAUCGGGGCAGGGUGAGUCGACCCCUAAGGCGAGGCCGAAAGGCGUAGUCGAUGGGAAACGGGUUAAUAUUCCCGUACUUGGUGUUACUGCGAAGGGGGGACGGAGAAGGCUAUGUUGGCCGGGCGACGGUUGUCCCGGUUUAAGCGUGUAGGUGUGUGUUCCAGGUAAAUCCGGUUCACUUUAACACUGAGGCGUGACGACGAGGCACCACGGUGCUGAAGCAACAAAUGCCCUGCUUCCAGGAAAAGCCUCUAAGCAUCAGGUAACAUCAAAUCGUACCCCAAACCGACACAGGUGGUCAGGUAGAGAAUACCAAGGCGCUUGAGAGAACUCGGGUGAAGGAACUAGGCAAAAUGGUGCCGUAACUUCGGGAGAAGGCACGCUGACACGUAGGUGAAGUGGUUUACCCAUGGAGCUGAAGUCAGUCGAAGAUACCAGCUGGCUGCAACUGUUUAUUAAAAACACAGCACUGUGCAAACACGAAAGUGGACGUAUACGGUGUGACGCCUGCCCGGUGCCGGAAGGUUAAUUGAUGGGGUCAGCGCAAGCGAAGCUCCUGAUCGAAGCCCCGGUAAACGGCGGCCGUAACUAUAACGGUCCUAAGGUAGCGAAAUUCCUUGUCGGGUAAGUUCCGACCUGCACGAAUGGCGUAAUGAUGGCCAGGCUGUCUCCACCCGAGACUCAGUGAAAUUGAACUCGCUGUGAAGAUGCAGUGUACCCGCGGCAAGACGGAAAGACCCCGUGAACCUUUACUAUAGCUUGACACUGAACAUUGAGCCUUGAUGUGUAGGAUAGGUGGGAGGCUUUGAAGCGUGGACGCCAGUCUGCGUGGAGCCAACCUUGAAAUACCACCCUUUAAUGUUUGAUGUUCUAACGUGGACCCGUAAUCCGGGUUGCGGACAGUGUCUGGUGGGUAGUUUGACUGGGGCGGUCUCCUCCUAAAGAGUAACGGAGGAGCACGAAGGUUGGCUAAUCCUGGUCGGACAUCAGGAGGUUAGUGCAAUGGCAUAAGCCAGCUUGACUGCGAGCGUGACGGCGCGAGCAGGUGCGAAAGCAGGUCAUAGUGAUCCGGUGGUUCUGAAUGGAAGGGCCAUCGCUCAACGGAUAAAAGGUACUCCGGGGAUAACAGGCUGAUACCGCCCAAGAGUUCAUAUCGACGGCGGUGUUUGGCACCUCGAUGUCGGCUCAUCACAUCCUGGGGCUGAAGUAGGUCCCAAGGGUAUGGCUGUUCGCCAUUUAAAGUGGUACGCGAGCUGGGUUUAGAACGUCGUGAGACAGUUCGGUCCCUAUCUGCCGUGGGCGCUGGAGAACUGAGGGGGGCUGCUCCUAGUACGAGAGGACCGGAGUGGACGCAUCACUGGUGUUCGGGUUGUCAUGCCAAUGGCACUGCCCGGUAGCUAAAUGCGGAAGAGAUAAGUGCUGAAAGCAUCUAAGCACGAAACUUGCCCCGAGAUGAGUUCUCCCUGAGACUUUGAGUCUCCUGAAGGAACGUUAAAGACGAUGACGUUGAUAGGCCGGGUGUGUAAGCGCAGCGAUGCGUUGAGCUAACCGGUACUAAUGAACCGUGAGGCUUAACCUU